rnacentral:rRNA from 1 species
UUUAUGGAGAGUUUGAUCCUGGCUCAGAGUGAACGCUGGCGGCGUGCCUAAUACAUGCAAGUCGAACGAUGAAGCUUCUAGCUUGCUAGAGUGCUGAUUAGUGGCGCACGGGUGAGUAACGCAUAGGUCAUGUGCCUCUUAGUUUGGGAUAGCCAUUGGAAACGAUGAUUAAUACCAGAUACUCCCUACGGGGGAAAGAUUUAUCGCUAAGAGAUCAGCCUAUGUCCUAUCAGCUUGUUGGUAAGGUAAUGGCUUACCAAGGCUAUGACGGGUAUCCGGCCUGAGAGGGUGAACGGACACACUGGAACUGAGACACGGUCCAGACUCCUACGGGAGGCAGCAGUAGGGAAUAUUGCUCAAUGGGGGAAACCCUGAAGCAGCAACGCCGCGUGGAGGAUGAAGGUUUUAGGAUUGUAAACUCCUUUUGUUAGAGAAGAUAAUGACGGUAUCUAACGAAUAAGCACCGGCUAACUCCGUGCCAGCAGCCGCGGUAAUACGGAGGGUGCAAGCGUUACUCGGAAUCACUGGGCGUAAAGAGCGCGUAGGCGGGAUAGUCAGUCAGGUGUGAAAUCCUAUGGCUUAACCAUAGAACUGCAUUUGAAACUACUAUUCUAGAGUGUGGGAGAGGUAGGUGGAAUUCUUGGUGUAGGGGUAAAAUCCGUAGAGAUCAAGAGGAAUACUCAUUGCGAAGGCGACCUGCUGGAACAUUACUGACGCUGAUUGCGCGAAAGCGUGGGGAGCAAACAGGAUUAGAUACCCUGGUAGUCCACGCCCUAAACGAUGGAUGCUAGUUGUUGGAGGGCUUAGUCUCUCCAGUAAUGCAGCUAACGCAUUAAGCAUCCCGCCUGGGGAGUACGGUCGCAAGAUUAAAACUCAAAGGAAUAGACGGGGACCCGCACAAGCGGUGGAGCAUGUGGUUUAAUUCGAAGAUACACGAAGAACCUUACCUAGGCUUGACAUUGAGAGAAUCCGCUAGAAAUAGUGGAGUGUCUGGCUUGCUAGACCUUGAAAACAGGUGCUGCACGGCUGUCGUCAGCUCGUGUCGUGAGAUGUUGGGUUAAGUCCCGCAACGAGCGCAACCCCCUUUCUUAGUUGCUAACAGGUCAUGCUGAGAACUCUAAGGAUACUGCCUCCGUAAGGAGGAGGAAGGUGGGGACGACGUCAAGUCAUCAUGGCCCUUACGCCUAGGGCUACACACGUGCUACAAUGGGGURCACAAAGAGAAGCAAUACUGCGAAGUGGAGCCAAUCUUCAAAACACCUCUCAGUUCGGAUUGUAGGCUGCAACUCGCCUGCAUGAAGCUGGAAUCGCUAGUAAUCGCAAAUCAGCCAUGUUGCGGUGAAUACGUUCCCGGGUCUUGUACUCACCGCCCGUCACACCAUGGGAGUUGUGUUUGCCUUAAGUCAGGAUGCUAAAUUAGCUACUGCCCACGGCACACACAGCGACUGGGGUGAAGUCGUAACAAGGUAACCGUAGGUGAACCUGCGGUUGGAUCACCUCCUUUCUAGA